AGUUUGAUCAUGGCUCAGAUUGAACGCUGGCGGCAGGCCUAACACAUGCAAGUCGAACGGUAACAGGAAGCAGCUUGCUGCUUCGCUGACGAGUGGCGGACGGGUGAGUAAUGUCUGGGAAACUGCCUGAUGGAGGGGGAUAACUACUGGAAACGGUGGCUAAUACCGCAUAACGUCGCAAGACCAAAGAGGGGGACCUUCGGGCCUCUUGCCAUCAGAUGUGCCCAGAUGGGAUUAGCUUGUUGGUGAGGUAACGGCUCACCAAGGCGACGAUCCCUAGCUGGUCUGAGAGGAUGACCAGCCACACUGGAACUGAGACACGGUCCAGACUCCUACGGGAGGCAGCAGUGGGGAAUAUUGCACAAUGGGCGCAAGCCUGAUGCAGCCAUGCCGCGUGUAUGAAGAAGGCCUUC
rnacentral:rRNA from 1 species